ACUGCUCAGUAACACGUGGACAACCUGCCCUUAGGUUGGGUAUAAACCCGGGAAACUGGGUAUAAUACCCGAUAGGUCUCGAUUGCUGGAAUGCGUCGAGAUUUAAAGCUCCGGCGCCUAAGGAUGGGUCUGCGGCCUAUCAGGUAGUAGUGGGUGUAGCGUACCUACUAGCCUACGACGGGUACAGGUUGUGAGAGCAAGAGCCCGGAGAUGGAUUCUGAGACACGAAUCCAGGCCCUACGGGGUGCAGCAGGCGCGAAAACUUUACAAUGCUGGCAACAGCGAUAAGGGAACCUCGAGUGCCAGGUUACAAAUCUGGCUGUCGAGAUGCCUAAAAAGCAUUUCAUAGCAAGGGCCGGGCAAGACCGGUGCCAGCCGCCGCGGUAACACCGGCGGCUCGAGUGGUAACCGUUAUUAUUGGGUCUAAAGGGUCUGUAGCCGGCCGGAUAAGUCUCUUGAGAAAUCUGGCAGCUUAACUGUCAGGCUUUCAGGAGAUACUGUCUGGCUCGAGGCCGGGAGAGGUGAGAGGUACUUCAGGGGUAGGGGUGAAAUCUUGUAAUCCUUGAAGGACCACCAGUGGCGAAGGCGUCUCACCAGAACGGACCUGACGGCAAGGGACGAAAGCUAGGGGCACGAACCGGAUUAGAUACCCGGGUAGUCCUAGCCGUAAACGAUACUCGCUAGGUGUCGGCCACGGUGCGACCGUUGUCGGUGCCGUAGGGAAGCCGUGAAGCGAGCCACCUGGGAAGUACGGCCGCAAGGCUGAAACUUAAAGGAAUUGGCGGGGGAGCAC
rnacentral:rRNA from 1 species